rnacentral:lncRNA from 1 species
GCAACGACCUUGUGUGGGGUGGACGACGUCGUCGUCAAGGUCCAGGUCAAUGUCCUCCUCGUCCAUGGAGGGAGGGCACCUACUGCAUCCAAAACGUACAAAAAGUAAAUAAGCAAGGAUUGACAAACAAAGCAAGCAAUUUUUUACAGAGAAAUAGAAUGCCCAGCUCAGAGCAGAGUACAAUCUUUUAACUGGAAAUAUCUGCAAACUGAUGCAAGUGUGUAGAAACUUGGAUGUAUAUAUAGCAUCAAUCAAUCCUCUCAUAUUAUUCAGUGAACAUUGAGACUAUGUAAACUCGAACACUAUGAACAAGAUCUAGAAACAGUGGCAUAGCAGAGCAGCAAUAAAUUGGAAAAAAAAUUGUUUAGAUGCAUAUAGAUUGUUUCCUUACUUAAAACCGAAAGAAUUCAGAGUGAGGGCCUAGAGAGGUGCACUGAAGAUGGCAUUCUGUUGAUGAAUGCUGAACAGGGACGAUCAUCAAUGGAGAUUACACUUGCUGAUCAAAAGGCAGUGAUGGAAUCCCUUCCCCUGGCAUGAGUUUCAUACCAGUGAUGGCACUUCUUCUUGCCUGUUGAGGACUAAUCCCAGAAAUAUAUUAUUUUUCCUGAAGCUCGGUGUAGCACAACAUGGGCACGGACACAUCAGUGGCUCUCUACACGAUUGAUGUAGGUUGCAUCCCCUUGGUGACAAUGAGGACCCCAACAAUGCUUCUCCUGCAUUGUGCGACCAGUGAAUGCGGACACCAUCACAAAAUUUGUUUAGAGCGAGUUCACUGAAUUCUGUUGUGUUCCAAGUUUCAGGUUGACAUGAAGAAUUUGAAUGUUGAAUUUUUUUUACCUUUCCAUGAGCUUACCUUGUAUAUUAAAAUCAGAGCUCCAUUCUAUAAUAAUGACACAAUAUACUUCCUAUUCAUAAUUCUGAUCACAUUAACAAAUUCUUUUUCAGACAAUACAUGCAUAAAGAAGUCUAGAAAUACAUUAGAUUUUUCCUUCAAUUACGACAAUAGAGUAAAGCAUUUCAGAAGACGCGUGUUUUUUCUUAGUGUCUUAAACAAACACAUGUUUACAUGUGAGCUCACCUCCUUGUCGGAUAAAUCAUUGGACUGGAUCAAGGUCUCCAGCAGAAGCAUCCUCUCAC